rnacentral:rRNA from 1 species
UACGUAGGGGGCAAGCGUUGUCCGGAAUCAUUGGGCGUAAAGCGCACGUAGGCGGCUUAGCAAGUCGGAUGUGAAAUCCCUCGGCUCAACCAAGGAAGUGCAUCCGAAACUGCUGAGCUUGAGUACUUAAGAGGAUCGCGGAAUUCCCGGUGUAGAGGUGAAAUUCGUAGAUAUCGGGAGGAACACCAGUGGCGAAGGCGGCGAUCUGGGAAGAUACUGACGCUGAGGUGCGAAAGCGUGGGGAGCAAACAGG